AGGGCACCACCAGGAGUGGAGCCUGCGGCUUAAUUUGACUCAACACGGGGAAACUCACCCGGCCCGGACACCGGAAGGAUUGACAGAUUGAUAGCUCUUUCUUGAUUCGGUGGAUGGUGGUGCAUGGCCGUUCUUAGUUGGUGGAGCGAUCUGUCUGGUUAAUCCCGAUAACGAACGAGACUCUAGCCUAUUAAAUAGACGUCGGGUUCUCUGCACUCGACGGUCUUCUUAGAGGGACAAGGUGCUUUUAGCACCGCGAAACAGAGCAAUAACAGGUCUGUGAUGCCCUUAGAUGUCCGGGGCCGCACGCGCGCUACACUGAAGGAAGCAGCGUGUAACAACCUUGUUCUAACGAACUGGGUAACCCGUGGAACUUCCUUCAUGAUUGGGAUAGGGGUUUGCAAUUGUGCCCCUUGAACGAGGAAUUCCCAGUAAACACUAGUCAUCAGCUAGUGCUGAUUACGUCCCUGCCCUUUGUACACACCGCCCGUCGCUACUACCGAUUGAAUGGUUUAGUGA
rnacentral:rRNA from 1 species